rnacentral:rRNA from 1 species
AGAGUUUGAUCAUGGCUCAGAACGUACGCUGGCGGCACGCCUAACACAUGCAAGUCGAACGCAGUAGCAAUACUGAGUGGCAAACGGGUGAGUAUAAUGUGGGAAUCUGCCUUUUGGUUCGGAAUAACACGAGGAAACUUGUGCUAAUACCGGAUAAGCCCUUACGGGGAAAGUUUUAAUGCCAAAAGAUGAGCCCGCACUUGAUUAGCUAGUUGGUAAGGUAAUGGCUUACCAAGGCAACGAUCAAUAGCUGUUCUUAGAGGAAGACCAGCCACAUUGGGACUGAGACACGGCCCAAACUCCUACGGGAGGCAGCAGUGGGGAAUCUUGCACAAUGGGGGAAACCCUGAUGCAGCGAUGCCGCGUGAGUGAAGAAGGCCCUUGGGUUGUAAAGCUCUUUCGUCGGGGAAGAAAAUGACUGUACCCGAAUAAGAAGGUCCGGCUAACUUCGUGCCAGCAGCCGCGGUAAUACGAAGGGACCUAGCGUAGUUCGGAAUUACUGGGCUUAAAGAGUUCGUAGGUGGUUGAAAAAGUUAGUGGUGAAAUCCCAGAGCUUAACUCUGGAACUGCCAUUAAAACUUUUCAGCUAGAGUAUGAUAGAGGAAAGCAGAAUUUCUAGUGUAGAGGUGAAAUUCGUAGAUAUUAGAAAGAAUACCAAUUGCGAAGGCAGCUUUCUGGAUCAUUACUGACACUGAGGAACGAAAGCAUGGGUAGCGAAGAGGAUUAGAUACCCUCGUAGUCCAUACCAUAAACGAUGAUUGCUAGAUGUUGGAAAUUUAUUUUCAGUAUCGCAGCUAACGCAUUAAGCAAUCCGCCUGGGGAGUACGACCGCAAGGUUAAAACUCAAAUGAAUUGACGGGGACCCGCACAAGCGGUGGAGCAUGUGGUUUAAUUCGAAGAUACGCGCAGAACCUUACCAACCCUUGACAUGUCUGUCGCGAGUUUAGGAAACUAGACUUUUCGGUUCGGCCGGACAGAACACAGGUGCUGCAUGGCUGUCGUCAGCUCGUGUCGUGAGAUGUUGGGUUAAGUCCCGCAACGAGCGCAACCCCUACUUUUAGUUGCCAUCAGGUAAUGCUGGGCACUCUGAAAGAACUGCCAGUGAUAAGCUGGAGGAAGGUGGGGAUGACGUCAAGUCCUCAUGGCCCUUACGGGUUGGGCUACACACGUGCUACAAUGGUAGUGACAAUGAGAUGCAAGGUGGCGACGCUAAGCUAAACUCAAAAAUCUACCUCAGUUCGGAUUGCACUCUGCAACUCGAGUGCAUGAAGCUGGAAUCGCUAGUAAUCGUAGAUCAGCGUGCUACGGUGAAUACGUUCCCGGGUCUUGUACACACCGCCCGUCACACCAUGGAAGUUGGUUCUACCUUAAAGCAGAUUGCUAACCGCAAGGAGGCGUUUGACCAAGGUAUAGUCAGCGACUGGGGUGAAGUCGUAACAAGGUAACCGUA